rnacentral:rRNA from 1 species
GACGAACGCUGGCGGCGUGGAUUAGGCAUGCAAGUCGAGCGACAGAUAGCCUUCGGGCUAUUAUGGAGCGGCGAACGGGUGAGUAACACGUGAACAAACUGUCCUCACGUUCCGGAUAAUUGGCCGAAAGGCCUUGUAAUACGGGCGAGGGUCAUCUUGGGGCAUCUCAGGAUGAAGGAACGCGCAAGCGGCGCGAGGAGGUGUUCGCGGCCUAUCAGGUAGUUGGGGGGUAAUGGCCUACCAAGCCGACGACGGGUAGCUGGUCUGAGAGGAUGGUCAGCCACAUUGGGACUGAGACACUGCCCAGACUCCGUACGGGAGGCUGCAGUCGAGAAUCUUGGGCAAUGCACGAAAGUGUGACCCAGCGACGCCGCGUGAAGGAUGAAGGCCCUCGGGUUGUAAACUUCUUUAUGGGGAANACGGGCGUAAGCCCUUGACCGGUACCCAUGAAUAAGCCACGGCUAACUACGUGCCA